AGAGUUUGAUCCUGGCUCAGGAUUAACCCUUGCGGUACGUCUAAUACAUGCAAGUCGAACGGAGCACUUGUGCUCAGUGGCGAACGGGUGAGUAACACGUAGGUAACCUGCCCUUAAGACGAGGAUAACCAUUGGAAACGAUGGCUAAUACUGGAUUGAAAGCAGACUCGGCAUCGAGACUGUUUAAAAGAUGCGAUUCGCAUCGCUUAAGGAGGGGCCUGCGGCGCAUUAGUUAGUUGGUAAGGUAAGGGCUUACCAAGACAAUGAUGCGUAGCUGGACUGAGAGGUUGAACAGCCACACUGGGACUGAGAACGGCCCAGACUCCUACGGGAGGCAGCAGUAGAGAAUCUUCGGCAAUGGGGGGAACCCUGACCGAGCGAUACCGCGUGAAUGAAGAAAUACUUCGGUAUGUAAAGUUCUUUUAUAGAGGAUGAAUGAUGCGUGUAGGAAAUGACACGUAAGUGACAGUACUUUAGGAAUAAGCCCCGGCUAACUAUGUGCCAGCAGCCGCGGUAAUACAUAGGGGGCAAGCGUUAUCCGGAUUUAUUGGGCGUAAAGGGUGCGUAGGCGGCCGUUUAAGUUUGAGGUGUAAGUUCAAGGCUCAACCUUGUGAUGCUUCAAAAACUGGAUGGCUUGAGAGAGGUAGAGGCAAGUGGAAUUCCAUGUGUAGCGGUAAAAUGCGUAAAUAUAUGGAGGAACACCAGUGGCGAAGGCGGCUUGCUGGGCCUUAUCUGACGCUGAGGCACGAAAGCGUGGGGAGCAAACAGGAUUAGAUACCCUGGUAGUCCACGCCGUAAACGAUGAGUACUAAGUGUCGGGAGAACCCGGUGCUGCAGUUAACGCAUUAAGUACUCCGCCUGAGUAGUACGUGCGCAAGCAUAAAACUCAAAGGAAUUGGCGGGACCUCGCACAAGCGGUGGAUCAUGUUGUUUAAUUCGACGAUACGCGAAGAACCUUACCAGGCCUUGACAUACCGAGCGAUGCUAUGGAGACAUAGCGGAGGUUAACUGGGAUACAGGUGGUGCAUGGUUGUCGUCAGCUCGUGUCGUGAGAUGUUGGGUUAAGUCCCGCAACGAGCGCAACUCUUAUCGCUAAUUGCCAUCAUUAAGUUGGGGACUUUAGCGAGACUGCCAGUGACAAACUGGAGGAAGGUGAGAAUGACGUCAAAUCAUCAUGCCCCUUAUGGCCUGGGCUACAAACGUGAUACAAUGGUUGGUACAAAGGGAGGCAACGCCGUGAGGCCAAGCGAACCCCAUAAAACCAAUCUCAGUUCGGAUUGAAGUCUGCAACUCGACUUCAUGAAGUCGGAAUCGCUAGUAAUCGUAGAUCAGAACGCUACGGUGAAUACGUUCUCGAGGUUUGCACACACCGCCCGUCA
rnacentral:rRNA from 1 species